AUAAGGCAAGCCAGAUAAUGCAUUAUGCUUUAAAUACCAGGGAUGAGCCUCAACAAUGGGCCUGCGUCUGACAAAUACUUUAGAUAACAGUCGUUGCGUCAAGCAGCACACGGGUUAGAUUUUUCGAAUUUCUAAUAAAAUGUUUACGACUCGGACUUCCUAAAGUGUUUUUCAGAUCUCAGAAAGGAAGCCGAUUCUCAGGCAGCCGAACCAGUUUACACUCGGCUACAGCCAGUGUGAAAUCGGACUUCUUUGGCAUCAGUAGACCAAAUCCUGUUUACGGUGGAAGGGGGGAAAAAAAAAGAAAUAAAGAAAGAAAGAAAGAAAAGAAAGAAAAAAAUCCUUGGCGUGUAACUACUACAUCUUGGGCGAGAUACUGUCGAACAGACUCCAGCACGGUGAACUACACGGGAGAUUCGCUGGCCAGUAGCUGGACCGGGUCCUUCCAAACGCCAGCGCGGGGUUCGCCCCGUUCCCAAGGUGUAAACAAACCCGCCGCCGCGGCAGAAGGAUCAGGACUGCCAUGCUCAGUCAUUGGCUAGGAGCAGUCUGUGGGCAGCUUGGAGUUGGCACAACUGUGGAAAUGGGUCUCUGAGUGUUGAUGGCAGGACCUUUGAUGUCCUUUUCAGCUUGCUCAGUAUCCUGAAUGGCUCACCACCUGCCCAGGAGGAGGCUUCAACUCCACAUUAACAGGGAUUGAUGUAUAAAUACCCCAAUUUGUUUCUCCCUGGGUGUGAUAACACUGCCACUUCGAGUUCCCAACUGGAAUAAGCUCCAAUGAUCUAAGUGGCAACCUUUUCCAUAACAAGGCUUUGUCAACUGCCUUUCCUUUCCUGUCUACUUUCCCACUUGCCUUUGAGUGUUUCCUAGAAUCACAUCCUAAACCAGUCCAAAGAAACUCUUUAAAUAAAUAAAAAAAAAAACAAAAA